UACGGAGGGUGCGAGCGUUAAUCGGAAUUACUGGGCGUAAAGCGUACGCAGGCGGUUGAUUAAGCGAGAUGUGAAAGCCCCGGGCUCAACCUGGGAACAGCAUUUCGAACUGGUCAACUAGAGUAUGAUAGAGGGUGGUAGAAUUUCAGGUGUAGCGGUGAAAUGCGUAGAUAUCUGAAGGAAUACCGAUGGCGAAGGCAGCCACCUGGGUCAAUACUGACGCUCAUGUACGAAAGCGUGGGGAGCAAACGGG
rnacentral:rRNA from 1 species